GGGGAAUCUUCCGCAAUGGACGAAAGUCUGACGGAGCAACGCCGCGUGAGUGAUGACGGCCUUCGGGUUGUAAAGCUCUGUUAAUCGGGACGAAUGGUUCUUGUGCAAAUAGUGCGAGGAUUUGACGGUACCGGAAUAGAAAGCCACGGCUAACUACGUGCCAGCAGCCGCGGUAAUACGUAGGUGGCAAGCGUUGUCCGGAAUUAUUGGGCGUAAAGCGCGCGCAGGCGGAUCAGUCAGUCUGUCUUAAAAGUUCGGGGCUUAACCCCGUGAUGGGAUGGAAACUGCUGAUCUAGAGUAUCGGAGAGGAAAGUGGAAUUCCUAGUGUAGCGGUGAAAUGCGUAGAUAUUAGGAAGAACACCAGUGGCGAAGGCGACUUUCUGGACGAAAACUGACGCUGAGGCGCGAAAGCCAGGGGAGCGAACGGGAUUAGAUACCCCGGUAGUCCUGGCCGUAAACGAUGGGUACUAGGUGUAGGAGGUAUCGACCCCUUCUGUGCCGGAGUUAACGCAAUAAGUACCCCGCCUGGGGAGUACGACCGCAAGGUUG
rnacentral:rRNA from 1 species